GGCCAGACUCCUACGGGAGGCAGCAGUGGGGGAUAUUGCACAAUGGAGGAAACUCUGAUGCAGCGACGCCGCGUGAGGGAAGACGGUCUUCGGAUUGUAACCCUCUGUCUUUGGGGAAGAAAAUGACGGUACCCAAAGAGGAAGCCCCGGCUAACUACGUGCCAGCAGCCGCGGUAAUACGUAGGGGGCAAGCGUUGUUCGGAAUGACUGGGCGUAAAGGGUGCGUAGGCGGUGUAGCAAGUUAGAAGUGAAAUACCUAGAGCUUAACUCAGGUGCUGCUUCUAAAACUGCUAUACUUGAGUGCAGGAGAGGAAAGUGGAAUUCCUAGUGUAGCGGUGGAAUGCGUAGAUAUUAGGAGGAACAUCAGUGGCGAAGGCGACUUUCUGGACUGUAACUGACGCUGAGGCACGAAAGUGUGGGGAGCAAACAGGAUUAGAUACCCUCGUA
rnacentral:rRNA from 1 species